rnacentral:rRNA from 1 species
AAAAAAAAAAGAGAGCCGCUCUUUCUUAGGGGUAUGAACCGUCAUGAUGGAGGAGAAGGGGUGAGCCAGCCUGGUGGUGGAGCAGAGGGGGGUUUAGAGCGGCCUAAGGCGGCGGAGGUGCGCGCGGCCUCCAGGACUGUUUUUAGCGGGCCUCGAGCGCGCGCAGAGGGGGCCCCACCAGCGCGGCGCGCCGCGGCUCGGUACUUGAUGCCCGGGAGCCUGUCGUCGCCUUGACUACUACUGGAAGGUGGUGGUAUAGGCUUAUUAGGCUUAUUAUCCUCAUAUGCUCCGUCGCCCGCACGGUCACCAUUACCGUCUCGAUAACAAGGACAGUCACCAUUACCUUCCCGGUAACGAGGACGGUCGAGCAUGGGAUCUCGGGUCUGGCUAUACCUUUGUGUUUAAGUUGUCGAACUCGUUCUUCGCAUAACACGUCAAGACGCACGAAAAUUUCGAGUCAGACUACGGGAGUGUACCCUCUUCCUCCCAGACUAAUGGCUUGAAUCCUUCCUCGAUUCCCAUAGGCUGUUUCUUGUGUCCCUCCACGAUUUGUCCCAGUUACCACUACUAUAAUAGGCGUCGUAUUCCCUUACCUCUAGUUGUCCUCCGGAAGUCCGUUCGAAUGGGUUAUUAGGAGUCGGAUAUGUAGUACUGGGCCGCGGAUCGGGAUGGUGGAGACCGGCAUUUUCCGUUUUCUGUAGAGUUAGGCAAGGAGGGGAUGGACAUGGCAGAGGAGGACAAUACGUAGGUGUCGUCUACCGAUGUGGUUGUGUUGGAAGUAGAAGUCGUCGAUUUUUCCCUAAAGACGGUCCGUGAUUUCCGUUUUUCUGUUUUGGUCCGGUCUUCUAUGGUCCCCCGAGACGUCAGUUUAGAUACGGUGGAAGUCGUCCAGGGUCGCCUUCCCCUGGUGUAUACUUGUCUUUGAAAGGACCAGCGGGACGACGAGGACUUGGAAGAGUUCCUGUCGUAGUAGAAUUAGGAAAUUAACCAGCAUUUCAGUACAGAGCCACCGGACUUCUAUUAUUAAAGAUACUUCGGUGAUAUUGACUAAUGUUACGCCUUUUCUAUUUUGGUCUUCUGUAUUAGACCGUUCCGCUCCUGGGUCCUAAUAUAGUUCCUCCAGCACCACGAGGUCCAUCGCCCCCAUUCUUCAGUUGAUCGGCACAAUACGGGUGUGGUCCAUGUCCAUCCCCCUCUCCUAAGGUUUUCUUACACAGCUUCUUUCUGAAAGGUGCAAGCGUUUUACCGCAACCCUUCUCUUCAAGACUACUGUAACUAUAUGAAGUGUGACUUUCGGACUAUUUUCUCCACCUCUCCCAGAAGUCACAAUCAGUAGGACUAGGAAACCUCCAUCUGUUCCGUUUCUUUCGCGACUUCCUCGUUCUUGUCAGCAACUAACUACGCUAUCGUUCCGAACGACUCCGUAGACUACCGCUUUCACUACUCGUCUUGGCACCGGCUUCCUACCCCGGUAUACCACCCGUGGGCGUAGUUCGUUUGAUACGCCUACGGUACCCACAACUACCGCUGGUGUACCAGCCUCCGCGACGGUGUAUUUACCUAGCGGCCUUGUACAUAUGUGUUUAAGCUAAUCUUCGGGCAGGACAACAUUUUAGAAUAACGAUUACAAAUAAAUUUUGAAUCGGUAUCCAACUUUGGUAGACCAAAACUCUCUGCUAGUCAAAAACAAGAGAAGAAAAAGAAAACCCCAUCCUGACGAAUUGCACAACAUUUCGACGACGAGACGCCUCGAUAACACGAAGAACAAUAACGUGUUCACUAUCACGUUACCACUAACUAAUCUGAACCUGUAAAACUGGAGAACAAAAGCUUUGCAGCGAUGGAGAAGUAAUGAGACCUUAGUACAGAAUAAGUAC